rnacentral:miRNA from 1 species
CCUCCCCAAUUCGAUCGAGGCGA